CCCACUCUUGUGGUCUUCGCUCUAAUUAUAUCCAGCUGAUUUGACAACUUAACGUGCUUACGUUUUUCCUUCCUCCAUUAAGCGUUGCAUAAUCAAACUUGAUUUAAGGAUGGUAUGUCUAUGCCCUUUUCCUGCCACCUAGUUCCCACAAUCGGGCUGAAUGUCGACAAAUCGAGGAGGUUAAUUUAUGUUCCCUGAAGCCUUAACAAGGACGUCUUCGCGGCAUUCAGCUGGACCGCAGAGGGUGAAAAACUCGUGUGUUUGGAUUGAAGAACUGGUAGGAGACUUGUGUGGCAUACCAGGACACGGACACCAAUGUGCACAACCCUGCAACAGGAGCACAAAUGCGGGGAGGGGUGGGCGUGCCCCGUGGCCUCACCUGCGAGCAGGAAGAGCAGCCCCCCUGAGACGGCGAUCCUGCUCUUGGUCAGGGGGUUGUUGUCCCCGACCUUGGUGCACUUCAUGCCCACCACGCUGACGAUGAUGGCGAUGAAGCCCAUCAGCACGGACACCACCAUCAGUGCCCGGCAUGUCUGGAUGUGCACUGGAAGAGCAAGGGCGGGCAGGGGGAAGGUCAGAGGUCAAAGUUUUAGAGGCAUGACGUCAGCGGGGGUCCACUUGUCCUGGAAACAACAGGAGAGGAGUACAGUGAGAUUCCAGCGACUGACUAUGAGUACCAUGGUAAAGUCAGCUAAGGGCCUGCAUUUCAGCUCUGGUUAUAUUUCCAUGACAGUAAAUCCACAUUUGCUUCCAUCAGGACGUAUUAAUUAUUUUCACACGCUGACACCUGAUGGGUCUCACAGACGAAAAAUCCAAUUAAACAUAAUGCAACGACACUGGAUUUAAAAUCCAUCCACGAUAUUCAAACAGCUACCACCUACCAAUAUCUGAAAUGGUAAACAAAAAGAAUGGAUCAAACAGAAACUGUUCAACGUUGUCAAACGACUGCACAGCCAAAUACGACUUUAACUGCACAAAACAACAUGAAUAUAUUACUGAGUGGCAGUUUUGAACAUUGCUGCCUCCAGAUGUUUCUUUGUUUGUUGUGUUUAUUCAGUUUUGGUUAAACCAGCAGCUCUCAGCUGUGCAAUGCUACACCCACUCCUAGCAAACCAAGCACCUGCGUGUGACUGACGCAUCACAGCAUGAGAGCACGGGCAGAAAGGCUUUCUAAUGCUAAUGCACACGCAACCAGAACCUGACUCAAGGAACACUGACCAGCCUUACGCAGGGCCACAGCUAUGAAUUCUCUGGCCUGGG